AUUUAUAUAGUUUAAAAAAAACAUUACGCUUUCAUUGUAAAAUUAAGACUUUUUAUAAAUA
rnacentral:tRNA from 1 species